ensembl:lncRNA
CUCAAGCUAACUCACCAUGGCUAGAGCUAACCUUAACUCAAGCUAACUCACCAUGACUAGAGCUAACCUUAACUCAAGCUAACGCACCAUGACUAGAGCCAACCUUAACUAAAUCUGACUCACUAUGACUAGAGCCAACCAUAACUAAAGCUAACUCACUAUGACUAGAGCUAACCAUUCCAAUCCCUAUCUAUCCGCUAUCAUUACCUAACUAACUAGGACGCUAGUGUCCUACCUCUAACUAUAACUAGCUCUGUGACUCUAGGUGACAUCAUGUGACCUGGCAUCUUGACGCCGCUCUGAACGCCCUCGUCCUCCUCCUCCUUGUGCAUGCGGGGGCCUCAUCGUCAUGGUGAUCCAAUAAGGGGAGGAACUUGGCAGCAUCCUCUGAUUCCACUUCCUUGUCCUGGCCACGCCUCCCCUCGAACUGGCUCCUCCCACCAUAUCUGAUGACAUCAUGCACAUUAACCCGUAGCUAGCGUUCUAUUGGCUGCUCAGCAGAGGGACAGGUUGACGCCCCUUCAGGUGAACUCACCUGGCCAGGGCUUCCGUCUGGAAGUAGCACAGGAAGGCGGAGCCUCUGAACUGCUGCACCAGCGCCUCCACCUUCUCCUGGUCCUCCCACUGCACCUGGGCCAGCGUCUUCCCCCUGAAGGACUCUGGGAUGUAGCGGGGGCGGGGCCUCAGCUCCUCAACGGGGACACACCUGUAGCCCACCUGUAGGCCACGCCCACCGUCUGCUGGGAGGGUCCUGAGGGCACAGUCUAAAGGUCGGCUCCUCCCCCUGUCCGCUGGGAGGGUCCUGUCGGCGGAGUCUAGAGGUCGGCUCAACUCCCUGUCUGCUGGGAGGGUCCUGAGGGCGGAGUCUAGAGGUCGGCUCCACCCCCUCUCCGCCGGGAGGGUCCUGAGGGCGGAGUCUAGAGGUCGGCUCCACCCCCUCUCCACCGGGAGGGUCCUGAGGGCGGAGUCUAGCUGCUGGGCGUACACCUGGUUAUCCAGCCUCACCUGGCUCUCCGUCAGACAGGUCAGCUUCCAGGCCUCCGAUUGGCCCAUCUGGGUGGGUGGGCAGGGCCCCCUGCUCUCUAAGGUCGCCUGAAGAGACAGAAGACGCUGAUGAAGGAGGGUUAGGGUUAGGGUUAGUGCUGCGCCGAGCGGUCAACCUGGUCACAUCCUUCCUACUCUUACCUGUACAGGUGUGUCUCAUCCUAACUGGUCUUACCUGUAAAGGUGUGGCUCAUGUUACCUGGUCUUACCUGUACAGGUGGUCUUGUGUUACCUGGUCUUACAUGUACAGGUGUGUCUCAUGUUACCUGGUCUUACCUGUACAGGUGUGUGGCAUGUUACCUGGUCUUACCUGUACAGGUGUGUCCCAGGAGUCGCUCGCACUCGUCCUCUGAGAACCAGACGAGCUGUAGUGGAAGCUCUCCGUCCCCCCCUGCAGGAGGCCGGGGGAACUACAGCCAGACCCCCUGGUGAGGAGGGGGGGGGGGCCGGGGGAACUACAGCCAGACCCCUGGUGAGGAGGGGGGCCGGGGGAACCACAGCCAGUCCCCUUGGAGAGGAGGGGGAGGGGCCCGGUAGGGGGAGGGGCCCGGUAGGGGGGAGGGGCCAGGCUGUGCGGCGUAGAAUGAGGAAGAGGAGGAGGAAGGUUUUCUCCUGCGCUCAGUCUUCCUGUGGCACUUCCUGUGAACCGAGAAGGGGGCGGAGACAAGUGAGUAUUGGAGGGGCAUGUCUUCCCCAGGUGAGUGUGGGAGGGGCAUGUCUUCCCCAGGUGAGUGUUGGAGGGGCGUGUCUUCCCCAGGUGAGUGUGGGAGGGGCGUGUCUUCCCCAGGUGAGUGUAGGAGGGGCGUGUCCUCCCGAGGUGGGUGUGGGAGGGGCGUGUCUUCCCGAGGUGGGUGUUUGAGGGGCGUGUCUUCAGGUGACUGUCUUGUGUCGUGCUCUGUGAUUGGUGAAAAGGACCCAUCAAGCACCGCCUCCCCAAACAGCAGCCUCUCUGAUUGGCUGUGGUGGGCCGCUGGGGGGCCUGAGAGGGGGUCCCGCCUCCCUAGCGACUGGCCGUCGCCGUGGGAGACGCCGGGCCCUGGAAACGGGGGGGUCCGCAUGGGGGG